rnacentral:misc_RNA from 1 species
AUAUGCGCAUUGUGGAGAAGUGGACAACUGCUUUGAAGAAAGCAGCCAAUCUAGCAGGAUGGGAUUCAGCUGCUUCCAGACCUGACUCCACCCUUAUCAAUGGAAUUGUAAAUCAUAUAUUGAAGAAGUUGAAUCGUACACCAUCAAGUGAUACUGAGGGACAGAUUGGAAUAGAAUCCUCCUUAGAGCAAGUGGAAAAAUUAUUAGAUAUUAAAUUUCCUGAUGUCUGUAUUAUAGGAAUUUGGGGCAUGGGU